rnacentral:rRNA from 1 species
GUAUAAUGGGUCAGCGACUUAUAUUCUGUAGCAAGGUUAACCGUAUAGGGGAGCCGCAGGGAAACCGAGUCUUAACUGGGCGUUAAGUUGCAGGGUAUAGACCCGAAACCCGGUGAUCUAGCCAUGGGCAGGUUGAAGGUUGGGUAACACUAACUGGAGGACCGAACCGACUAAUGUUGAAAAAUUAGCGGAUGACUUGUGGCUGGGGGUGAAAGGCCAAUCAAACCGGGAGAUAGCUGGUUCUCCCCGAAAGCUAUUUAGGUAGCGCCUCGUGAACUCAUCUUCGGGGGUAGAGCACUGUUUCGGCUAGGGGGUCAUCCCGACUUACCAACCCGAUGCAAACUACGAAUACCGAAGAAUGUUAUCACGGGAGACACACGGCGGGUGCUAACGUCCGUCGUGAAGAGGGAAACAACCCAGACCGCCAGCUAAGGUCCCAAAGUCACAGUUAAGUGGGAAACGAUGUGGGAAGGCACAGACAGCCAGGAUGUUGGCUUAGAAGCAGCCAUCAUUUAAAGAAAGCGUAAUAGCUCACUGGUCGAGUCGGCCUGCGCGGAAGAUGUAACGGGGCUAAACUGUGCACCGAAGCUGCGGCAGCGACACUAUGUGUUGUUGGGUAGGGGAGCGUUCUGUAAGCCUGCGAAGGUGGCCUGUGAGGGUUGCUGGAGGUAUCAGAAGUGCGAAUGCUGACAUAAGUAACGAUAAUGCGGGUGAAAAGCCCGCACGCCGGAAGACCAAGGGUUCCUGUCCAACGUUAAUCGGGGCAGGGUGAGUCGACCCCUAAGGCGAGGCCGAAAGGCGUAGUCGAUGGGAAACAGGUUAAUAUUCCUGUACUUGGUGUUACUGCGAAGGGGGGACGGAGAAGGCUAUGUUAGCCGGGCGACGGUUGUCCCGGUUUAAGCAUGUAGGCGGAGGUUCCAGGUAAAUCCGGUACCUUUUAACGCUGAGGUGUGAUGACGAGGCACUACGGUGCUGAAGUAACAAAUGCCCUGCUUCCAGGAAAAGCCUCUAAGCAUCAGGUAACAUUGAAUCGUACCCCAAACCGACACAGGUGGUCAGGUAGAGAAUACCAAGGCGCUUGAGAGAACUCGGGUGAAGGAACUAGGCAAAAUGGUGCCGUAACUUCGGGAGAAGGCACGCUGAUAUGUAGGUGAAGCCCCUGCGGGUGGAGCUGAAAUCAGUCGAAGAUACCAGCUGGCUGCAACUGUUUAUUAAAAACACAGCACUGUGCAAACACGAAAGUGGACGUAUACGGUGUGACGCCUGCCCGGUGCCGGAAGGUUAAUUGAUGGGGUUAUCCGUAAGGAGAAGCUCUUGAUCGAAGCCCCGGUAAACGGCGGCCGUAACUAUAACGGUCCUAAGGUAGCGAAAUUCCUUGUCGGGUAAGUUCCGACCUGCACGAAUGGCGUAAUGAUGGCCAGGCUGUCUCCACCCGAGACUCAGUGAAAUUGAACUCGCUGUGAAGAUGCAGUGUACCCGCGGCAAGACGGAAAGACCCCGUGAACCUUUACUAUAGCUUGACACUGAACAUUGAGCCUUGAUGUGUAGGAUAGGUGGGAGGCUUUGAAGCGUG